AGCGGGGGGAGGGGGGCAGCUUGGAGGAGGGGGGUGCGUCUGGCUCCAGGAAGCGGCUUCGAAGGGCCCGUCAGUAUCACCUUAGCAUCGGCAGUCAACAACCGUCGUUCCGAGGCUCCGAGGAGGCCCUAGCUCUUUGCACAGGGCGCUCCCACCCCUGCUUAUGGCCUCAGACCCGAGCGCCUGGACACAGACACCGCCUCUGCGCAGGACUGCUGAACGCCUUCAUGGAGUUGUUGUUGUUUGGUCGCUAAGUCGUGUCUGACUCUGCGACCCCCUGGGCUGUAUGUAGCCCGCCAGGCUCCUCUGUCAGUGGGAUUUCCCAGUUACUUCAGCAGAAGCCCCAGGGUUCACGGAUUUGCCUGACUUGAAUCCUGGAGGCACCCCUGAUUGGUCAUAAACCAUGCCGCCCCCCAAGGGGAUGAGAUGAGCCCGCAUGACCAGGAGACUGCUGGAGGAGAGACAGCCCUUCCGAUGGAAGUCAGAAGACAGUCCGGAUACUGGAUUCCAAGCCCACAAAUGCUCAUCACGUUGAUCCCAUCUGUUUUGUUUUAUUUUAAACACGCAUCCUCAGAACAAUUAUACUUCUCAGGGCCUGGAGGACAGGCAGCCACAUGUCUCUAAACUUAUCAGUGCUCAAGAACAUUUUGUGCAGCGUUUGGUUGAUCAAAUGACUCACAGAUAACUUCCACAUGCAACAUUUGGGACCCUGAAAAAGUGACCAAAGUUCACCCCUUCCCAGUGAUUACCUUACAGAAGCUGUUUCCACCUGUGAACUGGCGAAAGUAUGGAAGUUAGCUCUAAUACCAUUAUUCAGCUUAAUUCUUAUUGUAAGCAACUCGUGUAUUUACAGAAUUUUAACGCUCACAUCUGUGUCACCAAACAAACACCCUUGAAAUAAUAACACGCCUCUGUAAUAUCAGAGCAUGGCAACCAGGAAGCAUUGGAUAAUUGGGUUUGGAGAGGACAGUAGAAAAUACUGUCCCUUUGUCUUUGGGGUGAAUAAAAGAUACAUGUGCUUCUGA